rnacentral:rRNA from 1 species
AGUGAAUAGAUACCCUGGUAGUCCUAGCCGUAAACGAUACUCGCUAGGUGUCGGCCACGGUGCGACCGUUGUCGGUGCCGUAGGGAAAGCCGUGAAGCGAGCCACCUGGGAAGUACGGCCGCAAGGCUGAAACUUAAAGGAAUUGGCGGGGGAGCACCACAACGGGUGGAGCUUGCGGUUUAAAUUGGAUUCAACGCCGGAAAUCUUACCGGGACCGACAGCAACAUGAAGGCCAGGCUGAAGACUUUGCCGGAUUAGCUGAGAGGUGGUGCAUGGCCGUCGUCAGUUCGUACUGUGAAGCAUCCUGUUAAGUCAGGCAACGAGCGAGACCCACGCCCACAGUUGCCAGCGUACUCUCUGGAGUGACGGGUACACUGUGGGGACCGCCGCUGCUAAAGCGGAGGAAGGAAUGGGCAACGGUAGGUCAGUAUGCCCCGAAUAUCCCGGGCUACACGCGAGCUACAAUGGUUGGUACAAUGGGUAUCUACCCCGAAAGGGGUAUGGAAAUCUCCUAAAGCCAAUCUUAGUUCGGAUUGAGGGGCUGCAACUCG